GGCAGGGGUUUUCAUGUCUGACCGGAAUGUCUGUUUCGCCGAACUGAUAUAUGGAAUACUUUUUUCAAGACCAGACUGCAACCUGCCUGCUGGGUGUGGCCUUUAUGUCUUCAUUUGUCGGCCGGCAUUUAUAAAUUCGUUGUCAUUUCAGACUCAUUCUUAGCCUUUGAUUGAUUUGGAACCCUUUAUUUCCCUUAAUGUUGUUGGGUGAAACAUAUCAACCAAACAUUUGGAUAAAAAUUGCUUGUUUGUCUUUCUUAACUCGUGUCGGUCGUAUUUCAAAUUCAAUCGAAUAGCCCAGCGUAUAUCUUGUUAACAACAAGAACUCUGUGAGGUUAUUCUAACUUAACUUACAACAAACGUGCGAGAAUUUUCCAUGCCUAUGUUUUACUGACAAAUCACACAUUAAAUGUAUCAGUACAUAGCUCUUGGAUCCAAAGGGAGAUACAGCAUCUAAAAUGUCCAACCCUUACACCUUACCAGCAACUACAAAAUAUGCAUGCCCCACGCCAGGAACCGUUUAAAAAGUGCAUAUUUCACUUAUUUAAUGUUUUUAGUCCUAAAAAGGGGCCAAAAAAAAAAAAUUCGCAUCGCUCCGCUCGGCGAUCUUUACAAACUACGACCCCUCUUUCAAAAAACCUGAAUCC
rnacentral:lncRNA from 1 species